UCUCCAGCCUGCCGGAUCGGGGUCGACCUCCAGUGAAUGGCGUCUCCCAAUUUGAGUGGUGCUAGUGCUAGUGGUACUGGUAGUGUAGGAUCUGCAGCCACACAGCCAACAGACAUUAAGGCUCCACUUUGGGAUCAUGUGAUUAUUCUGGAGAAGCCUAAAGCUGGUGGAGGAAAUGCUAUGUGGCGCUGCAAGUACUAUCCAAUGCAAAAACUGAGUAGUUACACUAGAGUUGAGGCUCAUUUGCUGCAGAUUUCAGGAAAGGGAAUAGGUAAAUGUCCUAAUAUCACAUAUGAAAUGCUGAGUGCAAUGAGAAAGGAAAUUGAAAGGUGCAAGAAUCUGGUGGAAAAAUCCAGGUCCAGAAUGGUUUCACUACCUACUGCUCCUUCCUCGAGCAAUA